UAAAAAAAUAAAAAAAAUUCAAGCUUCGCCCCUCUCAAAAUUCCUUCCGGCUGCCCGCUGCCGCACUCUCCCCGUCGGCCAGCGCCCCCGUCCAUGUCGCCGCCUCCAAGCCCUAAUCUGUGCCCCAUCCGCAACGGCACGCUUCUCCUCCCACCCGGCCACCCUUUGCCGCCCCCAUGUUCGUGCUGCCUCCGCCUCCUCCUACGAAGGCAAGCGCGUCGUAGCCUCCACGCCCUCUCUUCUCUAUCCCUCGCUAUCUAAUGCCGGGUCCGCCUCUCGAGGACCGGUCGCGGGAGCCCCACGUGCUCCGCCGCCACGCGGGGGCACCGACGUUGCCACCCGCAACUUAUUAUGGCUAAUAGCCCGGGGGCGUAGAGCUCUCCAUCGACGCGACGCUUGACUGCAUCCCCGGGCGCCGGCUUCGAUCCGACCCCGUUUCCCUCGCCGUGAGUUUGCUGCUCAGGGAGGUUCCGUGGGCUGUGUCACCUCGUUGAUAGGAUCACCGUGUUCGUGUAUGCGGAUUGCAGAAUUCUGGACACUGUAGGUAGGAAACAUGUGGGCAAGGUCAAGCCUUUGUUUCUGCUGCAGUGUGCGCUGUUCCCGGCCUACUUAGUCCCUUUGGACUUUGCUCAUGAUUCUAUUUGCUAGGUCUUGCAUUCUAUGCAUAGAACAAAGAUUUGCAUGAAAUAAGUUGAGCCAACUUAUUUGGGUUAUGGUUAACACCUAUGCUAUGGAGUGGAUGGAAUGUUCCAGAUUUGUAAAAUGGAUCAGUAAUUACUUCAUCCUUUUCCUCAGUAAUCCCUGGUUAAAAAGUCAUUUAUAGUUGUUUUUAGAACAAGUCACUUAUAGUUACGUGCCAAUAUUUUUUCUGUUUGCACUAAAUGAAUACUCUCGGUAUCUCUGUAUCAAGUUCAGGGAAAUUAUAGCAUGUAAAUUUCGAUGGAUAGGGUCAUGCAGGGAACUUGGGCAACAUUCUGCUGUUAAGCCAUUGAUGUUCGUUAUUCAUAUCGCACCAUCACCCUACCUUAUUUGUUGUUCACGUGGUAAGUCAAACCGUCAAAAAGCAUGAGGUCUAGCAAAGAUUUGAGAUAAGGAGAUAUAGACACUACACUAGGGUUCAACAUUAGUUUUUUUGUUACUGCACAACUUUAUCUUUUCUUUUUUAUUAUUUAAGUAUUAUGUUUAGAGACAAGACAUCAUGUUUAGAAGGGGGUGACAUUGGGAAUUAAUUGUCUUUUGUUAAUUAUCAGGUAGUCUGUAGUCGUUAGUUAAGCAUGCAGGCUACCAUGGAGGCUAAGCUUGGUUUCGAAUGUUUUGUUAAGUCUACCAUAAGUUAGUGUGGCAAUAUCAUGGAAAGGUGGCUUUCAUAUUUGGAAAGGGAUGCCCAGGACACAAAAGGUGGGAGAGCCGGGUAUGCUACCCUUGUGUUGACUUUGUAUUUGCGUAUAAGAAAUGCCUGCCAGGAUUUUCUAAUCUCAAGUCCCAUGUGUUAGAAAACUCUCACUUCCUUUACUUGUGUGUGUGUGUGUGUGUGUGUGUAUUCCAUAAUGUAAAACACAUCAUUGUGCAAUGUCUUUAGUUUCAUGUAUUGGAGCCUAUUGCUUUUGUUUCCUUCUAUCUCAUACUCUACAUCUCGAACCUACGAGUGCGGCCCUCCUUUCAUGUCAUGAAUGCCACUAGCAUCAAUACCCAUAUUCCCCUCUCUUGAUCUUCAAGACUCUUAACUACUCUUAAUUAUUCAAAACUCGCAACCAAGAGGGAGUAGUUUCCUGUAUUCUUGGCAAAUAUGCCCUCACCAUAUUCCCCUCUCUUGAUCUUCAAGACUCUUAACUAUUAAUUAUUCAAGACUUGCAACAAAGAGGCAGUAGUUACCCGUAUACUUGGCAAACAUGCCCUUAUGAACGAUGUUGACAAGCAUUGUUGUCUCAGGAUGUUUGUCGAUAGGAACCCGACCACAUUAUCCUUUCUUGGCUUUUUGGCUCCAUCUCCAUUGAGAUCUUGCUAAAGCCAUACACCCUGAUGCCACCAUACAAGCAUUGCAGUCAAACAUCGAAAAGCUCUUCCAUGACAUUUAGAAGGGCCUACAUUUCACCUUGACGCCGAAUUUCAUGUUCUUGUUCCAAAUUUACAUGAAAAUCAUCGAAUAUUAGCAUGAGUUACGUCUCAUGGUCUUAUUCACAACGACAUGGCAAAUACUGAAAUUGUCACAAUUUGAAAUAGGCUAGAUCGUGUUGGCCAACUAGUCUAUGAUGAAAGAAAGAUGGAGACAAUGUAAGACAGGUUGGCGUACAUAACUGAGCCUCUCAGUUAGUGUCCAAAUGUGUGAAAUAUUCAAUGGUUGUCAUGUCACAUCGACCACUGAAACUACUACAAAUGGCUUCGAAAUAGAUUUCUCAUCUCUAUUUGUUGGUUAGCUACUUCGCUGAGCUUCUUGAGUAUCAUCCACACUGCAUGUGUGGUGGCAAUGGAAUAGAGCCAGGUAAGAGAGAGAGCAAUACAAUUGUGGUUCUACUAGCAAGAAUCAAACGAGUUGAAAGGUGUCGCUUUCAACAUGGCUCUUAACAUUGUACUUGUCAAGAGUAUGUAGAAAUGGCUUAGUUCAUUUUGUGUAGUUAGAUGCUUGAACAUUGAUAGGAAUAUGAAUUUUGAUGCUUCUAAAUGUUCAUGGUGUCAAUGGUAGGCUCUGAUUCUACUAAAGAGAGUAGAUAUGUUGAAUACUAGUGUAUUUUAUACACCGUUUUAAAGACCGAACUGGUAGUUCAAUUGGAAAAACAGAAAAUGGAGGGUAGCUCAAUCCGGUUCAGCUAAGGGACCAUUACCAGCAUUGAACUGGUGUAAAGAACCGACUAUUUUUCUAAGAAGUCCUAACUGGGUGCGCUCGUGCGUGAGAAAAGGUGUGAAGGAAUAACGAGACAAAAGGUUGGAGGGGGAUCGAUUCCUGGUCUCUAGGGUGGGAACGUGUGCCCUUGCUACUCCACCACAUUUCCUUGUGCGACUAGUAUGCAAAAUGUAUUACUUAAGUGCUUUUGAACUGGUGGUUCUAUGGCCCAACCCUCGGUUGCACCGUUGAACCAUGAAUUGAGAGUCUUACUGGUUGGUCGACCGAUCAACGUGCACGUAUAUGGCUGUAUGCAAUGGAAGUUUCUUUAACAAGCUCCUCAACAAUCUUGGUCAAUACCAUUCUGAAUUUCAUCUCCCUCGUUGACUUAUCCCUUGCCACAUUUUGGUUAAUUGCUAGAGCACACUUGUGAAGGUUCCAUUUUAUUGAUACUAAAUAGUGCUGGUGUUUUAUGGAGUACAGGUAGGGUCAUCUUAGUGCAUGGAUCAUGAUGGUGUGAUGACUGCAAGAUUUUGGAGGACAUUUUAAGAAACAUGUGGAAAUAGUCAAGCAUUUGUUUGUAAAUGCAGUAUGUGAUGUGCCACCAUCCUUAUAUUGUUCUUAGGGGCUUUGAUCAACAUUCAAUAUGGUUGGUAAUUUUUAAUGCUUCUAAUUAUCUAUGUUGGGUUCCAUGGAUUCUGUUGUUUUUUCCUCUUAGGAUCUAUUUGUUCUAUUAGUAGUAUACUAACACAAUACAUGUCUUGAGAUUUUCAACAGACUGCUCGGUCCACUCAAAAAAGUCUGCAGCACCGAACACAUUUAAUAUUAUCAGACAGAAUUUAUUAAAAGCAAUUGUGGCUGCAAUCUGGUGAAACAAUACUUCUUUUUUCAAAAUUAUGAGGCAAUACUUAGAUCUUUCCGUUUACCACUGCUCUAGUUGUUGUGCCAAUCUUCUAUAUGGUAGUAAUCAUUGUGCGAAUUCCAGAUAAGGACUUUUACAAAUUUGCUUGCUUAUCUAUGCAAAUUAAUAAUUUACUUGUUUUCUUAGGAAUACUUGCCAUGACUUUGUUGAGGCUAAGUUUGUAGCUUAUUUGUUGAAUCUUAUGGAUAACAAAUGUUUCUUAGUGCUUGCCUGCAGUUGGAUAUUUUACAUACAAUUGCCUUCGUUUUUGAAAGUUAAAUUCACCUAUGUCUGCAUCGGAUGCUUCGGUUUAUUUUAUUCAUAGGCUUGUGCAUGAUCCAUUUUUAAUUUACCUGGCAUUUUGAUGAUUGCUUGAUUUCUAGCUGUCAUGCACAACUGCCUGUACACAAGGGUUUAUUGAACAUUGGUUAUUCUCAUCACUAUUCAUUUAUUUUCAGCAACCCCAAAACAAUUCGACCAAAGAUGAAUGAACUUCCAUACAGAUGUAAUGGCAUGUUGUAGGCUUGGGGUAGAGAAAGUAUUGGGUAUGAGGGAGGGAGGUGGAUGUUGGCUUUGGACCUUGUGUCCUGGAGCUGUAACUAAAAUAGAUGGAUUAGAUAGAGAUGCGAAUAAUAAGGAAGGAGAGAAGAGCUCAGCUCGAAAAGAACAUGAUACAUGAAGGAUAGGGAAACAUAGAAACAAGGUGGGUAAUUCUAUAUUUUGUCUAAUCUGAAAGAAAUUUCUCCAUCCUCUUAGAUAAUGGUCGGCCUAGUGAACUCAGCUAGAAGUAAGAUGAAUACAACUAAUUGAUAAGAUGGAUAUAUACUAAAUGGAAGGAUAUCUGCUACAGUCCUAGGCGACUAUUUGCUGCUUUAUGUGCCUGCUGUUACUUCUUUGUGUGCCAAAACACUUCUCCCCUCAAAAGACAUGUUGCGGGUACAAAUCAGCAACUAUGCCCUCCUAGGAUUUUGAGAUUUUGAUAAUUAUCAUUUAGUUUACUUUCAUCUUAUCAUUUAGUUAUUUCCAUCUUUUUUCUAGAUAAGUUUGUUAGGUCCACCAUUAACUAAUGGGAUGGAGACAUUAUUUUCUAAUGAAGCAAAAGAAUAAGAAUUAAUUACUUGUCUAUCUCCCUCAUUGUGUCAAGUAUGUUGUUUUUAUCCUGUCGAGCUCUCCUACUCCCCUUAGAUAUUGUUCACAUCUAUCUGAACCACGGCUACAGGAUGCAAUGCUAUAGAGCCAUGUCCACUUAUCUCUGGCUCAUUCCUAAUACGUUCUCUACCUGAACUCAUAAUGUAGAUUAACUAUUAGACUGAACAAUGAAAUUUUUUUAGUGGUUUUAUAGUGAAACUGUAAGUUUGAUUGUAUUUUCCAAAAACUUGGAUCUUUGAGUGACAUAUAAUUAAUUUUGUAUCCUAAAAAAAAUACUAGGUUCCACUGGGAUUUGAAUCCAGGUUGCCAGAUUAAAAAUCUAAAGUUGUCCCUUGAUGAUAUUUAUCACACAACAUAUCCAACAAAACGUAAAUAAAUUUAUUAAUCUGUGUCUUAUUCUUUUGUGAUGUAUGUCAUUUGACAAUCGCAAUAGCUGAAAAAUGUAUCUUUGAAAAUAUUGGUAAAGCAGUUUUUUGACCACAUUCGAUGAUAUGUGUGAACUUGUUUGAGUAUCAUGCUGGAAGUUUGGCAUGUUAGAAUGCACCCAUGCCACGGUCGCAUAAAUUUGUGAUUGUAUAUGCAACAUAGAGCACACUCAAAAUUAUGAAAUUUUAAUUUGGUUCAAAUCUAAGGCUGAGGCAGAGUAAUCCAUGGAAUGUAGUGAAUAGAGGACAAUAUAACUCAGACACUCAGUUAGCAUAGUCCCAAAUCUACAUUGAAUGGUGGCCAAAUUCAAGCUAUAAAAUAGAAGAGUAAAAUGCAUCACAGGUCCUCAAACUUGUCAAGCUGUGUUAUUUAGGUCCACAGACUUUCAAACUGCAGAUUUGAGCUAUUAAUAUUGUUAAGUCGUGCAUCAUGAGUCCAUAACCCUUCGCGUCCCUCUCUGGUGUACAUGUGGUGUGCCACCCGGGCGCCUGUGUGGCGUGCCAAAAAUUUUAAAAUAAAAAAUAGAAAAAAUCAGAAAAAUCAGGAAAAUAGAAAAAACAGAUUUUUAAAAAACAGAAAUAAUAGAAAAAAAAUCAGAAAUAAUAGAAAAAAUCAGAAAAAUGGAAAAAAAUCAGGAGAAAAAUAAGGACUCAUGAAUGUCACUAGUCUACAUGCAACACGUCCUGGCAUCUAUAUCCACAUGCAACACGUAAUGUCACUAGUCCACAUGUGCAACAUUAAAUAAUGCAGAUAUACAUGCCAGAAAGAAUAAAAAAUUAAAGAGUAUGUAGGACGUGUUGCAUGUGGUCUAGUGACAUAUUACGCUAUACUGCCAGUUAGCAAUAGGCUCACUCGUUGGUCUUUCCUAUUCUAAAUCCUUCCUAAAAGUAAAAUGUGUUAUAAAAUAGGAUGUGUUGCAUGUGGUCUAGUGACAUAUUUAUGCGUCUUGAUUUUUUCUAUUAUUUGUGAUUUUUUUUAAAAAAAUUCUGAUUUCCCCCCCUGAUUUUUUCUAAUUUUUUCUGAUUUUAAAAUUUUUUGGCACACCACCUCUGCACUAGAGGGGGGGGGGGGGGGCGUAAAGGGUUAUGGACCUGUGAUGCACGACUUAACAAUAUUAAUGGCCAAAAUCUGCAGUUUGAGAGUGUGGAUCUAAAUGACACAACUUGACAAGUUUGAGGACCUGUGGUGCAUUUUACUCAGAAUAGAAUUAGUAAAUCAUGGUAUAAUACGACUCUAAAUAUGGGAACUUUUUCGUCUGAAUAAUGUGGAAUAGUGAUACAACAACACAACUUAUUAUUAUCACUCAAUUUAGCAUGCAAAAACUAUCAUUAUACUAAACUGUGUGCAAAUUUGAAGCACAGUAGCCCAUUGGUGUCUAUUUUCGUGCUCAUUUGAGCUUUUGUUGUAGUUCCAAGUCCAACUACCCCACAAUGGGCCAUGUGCACGCUUUUGCUUGCAAUGCUCAAUGAAAUGUGUUGAGGAAAGCAAUUAUGUUCCAUAUUUUAACCUAUUCACCUUGAAUUCAACAGAAACUGAAUUCAGUUUUCCCAGUUUUGUAUUGUUAUUGUUCUGGUUAUCUUCUUUUUCCUUUUUCCAGAUGCUAGUAUCUGUCACUGUCUUGCUGCUGGAACCGAGGAUAUAAGGGCCACUCACCAUUUUUACAUAGUUCAGAUGGUGGCAUCAUUGCAAGUUAUUUUGAAAAUGCCAUACGGAAGGUGAAAGGAUGCCAGGAUGGCGCUUGAGAUGCUGUGAUGAUGCUCUUGAGCUGAAAUAUUAUAUCAUGAUGUCACCCAACAUGGGAAUUAUGGUCUUUUGUGUGGGCAAACAUGUAGACCUAAUGGUGUUAAUGCCUACUAAGGACUCAAUGGCAAGGGACCCCCAUUCCCUAUGUUCUCAAUGGCACCACAACAUUUUCAUUGACUUGGAUGGCACUUUUACAAUUGAACAUGUUUGGGAUGACAGAGUAGCAAUGCUCCAGCACAUGCAAGUGAGAUAAUUUUUUAGUUUGUUCGAAGAGGCAAUGCUGAGCAAAUGAGGGCUGGUACUGCUGUGCUGAGAAAUCUGUCUACUGAAGUUGCAGCUGUAGAUGAACAAGCUCCUGCAGAAGUAAACCUGCCCAGGCUGUGUGACUCCAUGUCGUCUUCUUCUACAGGGAAAGUUCUGGCGGAACUCACUUUCAUGACUGGAGUUGCUGUUGACAGAAACUCGAUAACCUGUCAAGGUCCAGAGGCACACUGGUGAUUUCACAUUUUCACACUUGUCUUUAAGGAAUUUCAGAUGGGAGAAUGCCCUUGAGCUUGCCAAACUGCGGUCUGAGGUUUUGGCCCAUAGAACGCAUGAGCAAUUAUUUCAUAUGAAUAAAGGCUCCAAGCAAUUUCAUAUGAAUAAAGGCCCUGUUGCAGUACAAGAAACGGAAAACACGCGGAAUACGUGAAAUGGUACCAGUGGCACUACUAUGUACACUUGGAACGUUAUCAUUUCGCUGUUGUCAAAUCUUUUAGUGCUGUACUCAAUAUAUUCCUGCAACCAAAUGCCAUUGUGUUAUGUGUAAUGAAAAGAAAUUAGCUUGCCUUGGAUAUAACUGGUGGUUGCUGGAAACAUCCACUCUCAGAAUCCCAAGAAUUUCAGCUGGUUCUCUACGUGCUGUGAAUGGUCUUUUGAGUAAUCUGAUAAUGUGCUAAGGUUCUUUGCCAUCUUUGAAGGCCUAGCUGAGUUGCUGGUGCACCUAAGAAGUGAAUUGGGUCUUGUUGCUCCAAAGUUUCUUCGUUCCCAUUAGCGUUGUUUUAGUUCUGUUGCGAUAAUUUAUGAGCUGAAAGUGUGUCCGUUCAAUCAGAGAACAGUAGUUUACAAACAUGGGAUGUACAUCGGGGGCCCAGGAACUAUGGUUUUAUGGUUUGAAGGGAACGGGAAGAUCAAAGCUUAACCCUGACUCACUUGUCCACCGCGUCGUGCUGGUACAUUUGCUCUGCGCGGCUCGAUCAUUUUCUGCGUGAAAGCGCAAUCCGUUUCCUAAAA